UUGUGCAGGCAUAUCAAUUGGAGAUUCCAAACCCUUGAAGGCAUGUUCUUCCUCUCAAGUCUCCUGAAAUCCAUUCAGAUCACUAUGAGGACUCAGACAUAUAGCUAGAGUUCUUUCUCCAACAAUAUCAAGACUAAUACUAGGUGCCAAGAUUUAAGACUUGCUAGAUUGUUAACCAUAUAUAAGGUCAUAAUUUUCCUAAACUCAACCUCAAUCUAGCCAUGUGUAGAGAUAUACAUCACCUUGAAAAUGAGGGAAGAAGAGAUGGUGGCCAACAAGUAGAUUGUGUUGAAAGAGUAUGUGAGUGGGUACCCAAAGGAGACUGACCGACUUUUUGGACAUUUUUUUUCUUUUGUUUGCUUGGUUCUCACUGGAUAUAGUAUAUCUAAGGUUCACAGCAUCCAGACUUCAAGCAAGGUGGCUUUGGUUGGGGAAUAACUGGGUGGGAAGAAUUCACUGUGAGCCUCAACCCUCAAGGCUGAACUAAAAUCAAAUACAUGCAGGCAUCCUAGGCGUGACAGGGUUUUCUGCAUAUGCUGGUUUUUCCCAAGGGGAAGGGGAGGCAGUGAAUGUAUGUUCAGCAGCAGGGGGUGUUGGCCAAAUUGUUGGCCAAUUUGCAAAGAUGAUGGGUUGUUAUGUAGUUGGAAGUGCCAGCACUAAUGAAAAGGCAAAUGCCUAAUUGCUCUAUUCUUGUAUAUUGAAUCUUCUAAUUCAACCUUAAUAUGAAGCUACCUACUUCAUCAA